rnacentral:rRNA from 1 species
GUGGGGAAUUUUGGACAAUGGGCGCAAGCCUGAUCCAGCAAUGCCGCGUGCAGGAAGAAGGCCUUCGGGUUGUAAACUGCUUUUGUACGGAACGAAACGGUCCGGGUUAAUACCCUGGGCUAAUGACGGUACCGUAAGAAUAAGCACCGGCUAACUACGUGCCAGCAGCCGCGGUAAUACGUAGGGUGCAAGCGUUAAUCGGAAUUACUGGGCGUAAAGCGUGCGCAGGCGGUUUUGUAAGACAGGCGUGAAAUCCCCGGGCUCAACCUGGGAAUUGCGCUUGUGACUGCAAGGCUGGAGUGCGGCAGAGUGGGAUGGAAUUCCGCGUGUAGCAGUGAAAUGCGUAGAUAUGCGGAGGAACACCGAUGGCGAAGGCAAUCCCCUGGGCCUGCACUGACGCUCAUGCACGAAAGCGUGGGGAGCAAACAGGAUUAGAAACCCUUGUAGUCC